rnacentral:rRNA from 1 species
GACGAACGCUGGCGGCGUGCUUAACACAUGCAAGUGGAGCGACGAACCAGGGCUUGCCCUGGGGCAAAGCCGCGAACGGGUGAGUAACACGUGGGUAACCUGCCUUGAUGAUUGGGACAACCCCGGGAAACCGGGGCUAAUACCAAAUGUGCUCACACCCCAUCAGGGGUAUGAGGAAAGGAAGCUUCGGCCUCCGCAUCAAGAUGGGCCCGCGGCCCAUUAGCUUGUUGGUGAGGUAACGGCUCACCAAGGCUCCGAUGGGUAGCUGGUCUGAGAGGACGAUCAGCCACACUGGGACUGAGACACGGCCCAGACUCCUACGGGAGGCAGCAGUGGGGAAUCUGGCACAAUGCGCGAAAGCGUGAUGCAGCAACGCCGCGUGUGGGAAGACGGCCUUCGGGUUGUAAACCACUUUCAGUUGGGACGAAGCUCCGCCGGUGAAUAGCCGGCUGGAGUGACGGUACCUUCACAAGAAGCCCCGGCUAACUACGUGCCAGCCGCCGCCGUAACAC